rnacentral:rRNA from 1 species
GUAGGUGGCAAGCGUUGUCCGGAAUUAUUGGGCGUAAAGCGCGCGCAGGCGGUUCUUUAAGUCUGAUGUGAAAGCCCACGGCUCAACCGUGGAGGGUCAUUGGAAGCUGGAGAACUUGAGUACAGAAGAGGAAAGCGGAAUUCCACGUGUAGCGGUGAAAUGCGUAGAGAUGUGGAGGAACACCAGUGGCGAAGGCGGCUUUCUGGUCUGUAACUGACGCUGAGGCGCGAAAGCGUGGGGGGAGCAAACAGGAUUAGAUACCCUGGUAGUCCACGCCGUAAACGAUGAGUGCUAAGUGUUAGGGGGUUUCCGCCCCCCCCUUAGUGCUGCAGCUAACGCAUUAAGCACUCCGCCUGGGGAGUACGGCCGCAAGGCUG